rnacentral:lncRNA from 1 species
UUUGGAGAGAAUAAGUUUUUUUAGAAGGAUCAGAGAGCUAGCUUCAUGCUUUGGAGUGGGAAAAAAAGACAGAGAAUUGGGUUUUUUUUCUUCGUAGGGUUUUGAGAAGACGGAGGAAAUCGUUGCUGAAGUCAGUGCUGUACUGGUGAAUCAAGAUUUUAAUGAAGUAGGUGUGAUUACUCUUAAUUGUUUUAUGAAAUUGAGUUAUGUCUGUGAUGAAGAAUUAAAAGGGUGUCUAUAAGAUUGAGUAUGCGAGUGAAUGAAAUUUAUUGGGUUAAUCUAACGAGACAAUCAAUGGAUACAAGAUCUUGAGUAUAAAGCGAUAUCGAAGAUUAGCAGUUUGGAUUGUUGGAGGUUCUUUGUAACGUCUA